rnacentral:rRNA from 1 species
AGAGCGAACGCUGGCGGCAGGCUUAACACAUGCAAGUCGAGCGGGCGGUAGCAAUACGGUCAGCGGCAGACGGGUGAGUAACGCGUGGGAACGUACCUUUUGGUUCGGAACAACACAGGGAAACUUGUGCUAAUACCGGAUAAGCCCUUACGGGGAAAGAUUUAUCGCCGAAAGAUUGGCCCGCGUCUGAUUAGCUAGUUGGUGAGGUAACGGCUCACCAAGGCGACGAUCAGUAGCUGGUCUGAGAGGAUGAUCAGCCACAUUGGGACUGAGACACGGCCCAAACUCCUACGGGAGGCAGCAGUGGGGAAUAUUGGACAAUGGGCGCAAGCCUGAUCCAGCCAUGCCGCGUGAGUGAUGAAGGCCCUAGGGUUGUAAAGCUCUUUUUGUGCGGGAAGAUAAUGACGGUACCGCAAGAAUAAGCCCCGGCUAACUUCGUGCCAGCAGCCGC